rnacentral:rRNA from 1 species
GACGGACGCUGGCGGCGUGCUUAACACAUGCAAGUCGAACGGAAAGGCCCUGCUUUUGUGGGGUGCUCGAGUGGCGAACGGGUGAGUAACACGUGAGUAACCUGCCCUUGACUUUGGGAUAACUUCAGGAAACUGGGGCUAAUACCGGAUAGGAGCUCCUGCUGCAUGGUGGGGGUUGGAAAGUUUCGGCGGUUGGGGAUGGACUCGCGGCUUAUCAGCUUGUUGGUGGGGUAGUGGCUUACCAAGGCUUUGACGGGUAGCCGGCCUGAGAGGGUGACCGGCCACAUUGGGACUGAGAUACGGCCCAGACUCCUACGGGAGGCAGCAGUGGGGAAUAUUGCACAAUGGACGGAAGCCUGAUGCAGCAACGCCGCGUGCGGGAUGACGGCCUUCGGGUUGUAAACCGCUUUCGCCUGUGACGAAGCGUGAGUGACGGUAAUGGGUAAAGAAGCACCGGCUAACUACGUG